rnacentral:misc_RNA from 1 species
CCAAUAGCGUAUAUUAAAGUUGUUGCGGUUAAAAAGCUCGUAGUUGAAUUUCGGGAUCAAUAUAUCGGUCGUGCCAUUGGUACGUACUGGUAUCAUUGGUUUCUCCUUUCUGACGAACCAUGAUGUCAUUAAUUUGGUGUUAUGGGAAGUUAGGACUGUUACUUUGAAAAAAUUAGAGUGUUUAAAGCAGGCUUUAGCUUGAAUACAUUAGCAUGGAAUAAUAGAAUAGGACGGCAUGGUUCUAUUUUGUUGGUUUCUAGGAUCACCGUAAUGAUUAAUAGGGAUAGUUGGGGGCAUUAGUAUUCAAUUGUCAGAGGUGAAAUUCUUGGAUUUAUUGAAGACUAACUACUGCGAAAGCAUUUGCCAAGGAUGUUUUCAUUAAUCAAGAACGAAAGUUAGGGGAUCGAAGACGAUCAGAUACCGUCGUAGUCUUAACCAUAAACUAUGCCGACUAGGAAUCAGACGAUGUUAAUUUUUUAAUGACUCGUUUGGCACCUUACG